rnacentral:rRNA from 1 species
UACGUAGGGUGCAAGCGUUGUCCGGAAUUAUUGGGCGUAAAGAGCUCGUAGGCGGCUUGUUGCGUCGGCUGUGAAAACCCGGGGCUCAACCCCGGGCCUGCAGUCGAUACGGGCAGGCUAGAGUCCGGCAGGGGAGACUGGAAUUCCUGGUGUAGCGGUGAAAUGCGCAGAUAUCAGGAGGAACACCGGUGGCGAAGGCGGGUCUCUGGGCCGAUACUGACGCUGAGGAGCGAAAGCGUGGGGAGCGAACAGG